GGGUUGUGAGGUUAAGCGACUAAGCGUACACGGUGGAUGCCCUGGCAGUCAGAGGCGAUGAAGGACGUGCUAAUCUGCGAUAAGCGUCGGUAAGGUGAUAUGAACCGUUAUAACCGGCGAUUUCCGAAUGGGGAAACCCAGUGUGUUUCGACACACUAUCAUUACGUGAAUACAUAGCGUAAUGAAGCGAACCGGGGGAACUGAAACAUCUAAGUACCCCGAGGAAAA
rnacentral:rRNA from 1 species